rnacentral:rRNA from 1 species
GUUUUGAAACCUUUCGAGGUGGAAAUUCUUUGGUGGAAACCGCUUUAAUCGCAGUGGCUUGAACCGGGCAAAAGUCGUAACAAGGUUUCCGUAGGUGAACCUGCGGAAGGAUCAUUAUCGUGCUUCAAUUAGAAGAAAAAAAAAAAACAAAACAAACAAGCAUGUAUACGUACGUACGUAUGUACGUUUACAUAUACAUACAUAAUCAUACACACAUACACACAUAUACGUCCAACAAAACGAUAAGCAAUAUGCAUGUGAAAUUUUUCGAUGGCAUCAUUAUCACAAGAAAUUUUUGCUAGUAUUAUUUGAUUGUGAUAAUUGAUAGCAUGAUAAUGCGCGAAAUAUUUUAGUUUGUUUCAUCGUUUUUGUUGCUGUAUAAAUGAUUGAUGUGUUAUGUGAUGUAGCGAUGAUGUAGGAGAGAAUAAACGGUGAUACAUGUUGGUGUCUAUACUUUAUCAAAGUUAUCGCCUGACCGUCGAUAACGAUGAAGAUAAAGCGAUAGCUUAAUUAAUACAUAUUUUUAUGUAUUAAUUAAGUAGACUUAAUGAGCAUUUAAGCAAGUUAUGCUGCCAACAAAUCAAAUAACACACAUAAACAUACACGUGCAUAUGGUUUUUUCAUAUGCAUUUUUUGUCGUUAAAAAUUUUUCAUAUUACAAUUGCAAAGAAAAUUUUUUUACUCUUAGCGGUGGAUCACUUGGCUCGUGGAUCGAUGAAGAACGCAGCUAGCUGCGAUAAAUAGUGCGAAU